ensembl:lncRNA
GCUUGUAAAGCUCAGACAAUGCAGCUUUAGGACCCAGCUUCACCUAGCAAAUCUCCGCUCCUUCACCAACAAAACAGAUGAACUACUUCUCCUCACCCUAAUCAACUAACAAGGACUUUUCCAGCUCUGUUGCUUUGUGCUUCAGGGAAACCUGGCUGAAUAAAACCAUUCCAGACAGCGUGUUAUAUCUGCAGGGUUUCCAGCUGUUCAGAGUGGAUCAUGUCGCAGAGACAUUGGGGAAAACGAGAGGCGGUGGAUUAUAUUUUUAUAUCAAUGAAGUCGCGACGGGCAGAGAACCGGCGCACACAAGAAGGAAAUCGCUCCUUCUCCACCUGCCGCACCGGCACGACGUGGGCAGCUUCGUGCCGAACAUUCCGCCAGCCGGAAGGACCGCCGCGGCGGGCCGGGACUGACGCGACACCGGCCAGCGAUUGGGGGACCCAACGGAGAAAUUCCACCACUCGGGCGACUGCGGAGGAGGAUAAAAGGGCGCGCUUCCGGCCGUACGAGAGAAGAGAAUACCGUAGCGACAAGACGGAUUCCGUGCAAGCGCGGACGAGAUCGCCGGGUGGUGAGAGUCCCACCUACGGAGGACGCCGGCCCGGGAAAACCCUCGCCCCCGUCUCGGGAAUCCCGCCUCCGCCACGAGUAGGCUACACCGGCAGUCACGCCUCCACAAGCCCCGCACUCAUCCCCUCACAACCCACUCACUUCACCCUUGCACCAAUAAACCACCGUUUGUGAACGUUCUUCUGCCUCCUGUGGCGCUGAUGGACAAGGCCUGUGAUGUGGCAGUGUGCCUCUUUGCUGACAGGGACUGCUUUGAGAAAUGGCACUGCUAAAAGGACACUGACAUUGGAAAAUUGACAGACUGGGAAAAAAUGCCUGUGACUGAUAUGUUUUACUUGUAAAUAGUUCACUAGUUUCUUGUUUCUCAUUUAAGUUUAUAUUUUGUACUUAUGGAGGACUGACCAGACUGAAAAAACACCUGUGACUAAUCUUUUAUUUGUAAAUAGUUCACUAGCAUUAUUUGUUUUUCACUUGUAAAGUUUAGAUUUUGCAUUUAUGGUGUUGAAAAAAAAUCUUUAAAAAAUUAUUUAAUUUAGCUUAUUUUAUUAAUUUAUUAAAUAAAAAUGUGUUUUUAAUAGGCGUUUUUAUCUUAUUUGUGGGUUGUGGAAGCACUUUGUAAUUAUGGACCGCAAACCUUCCAACAAGGAGCAGCAGGGAACAUAAUG